rnacentral:rRNA from 1 species
AGAGUUUGAUCCUGGCUCAGGAUGAACGCUAGCGACAGGCCUAACACAUGCAAGUCGAGGGGCAGCGGGGAGGUAGCAAUACCUUUGCCGGCGACCGGCGCACGGGUGAGUAACACGUAUGCAAUCCACCUGUAACAGGGGGAUAACCCGGAGAAAUCCGGACUAAUACCCCAUGAUAUGGGCUCUCCGCAUGGAGGGUCCAUUAAAGAGAGCAAUCUUGGUUACAGACGAGCAUGCGCUCCAUUAGCCAGUUGGCGGGGUAACGGCCCACCAAGGCGACGAUGGAUAGGGGUUCUGAGAGGAAGGUCCCCCACAUUGGAACUGAGACACGGUCCAAACUCCUACGGGAGGCAGCAGUGAGGAAUAUUGGUCAAUGGUCGGCAGACUGAACCAGCCAAGUCGCGUGAGGGAAGACGGCCCUACGGGUUGUAAACCUCUUUUGUCGGAGAGUAAAGUGCGCUACGCGUAGCGUAUUGCAAGUAUCCGAAGAAAAAGCAUCGGCUAACUCCGUGCCAGCAGCCGCGGUAAUACGGAGGAUGCGAGCGUUAUCCGGAUUUAUUGGGUUUAAAGGGUGCGUAGGCGGCACGCCAAGUCAGCGGUGAAAUUUCCGGGCUCAACCCGGACUGUGCCGUUGAAACUGGCGAGCUAGAGUGCACAAGAGGCAGGCGGAAUGCGUGGUGUAGCGGUGAAAUGCAUAGAUAUCACGCAGAACUCCGAUUGCGAAGGCAGCUUACUAAACCAUAACUGACACUGAAGCACGAAAGCGUGGGGAUCAAACAGGAUUAGAUACCCUGGUAGUCCACGCAGUAAACGAUGAUUACUAGGAGUUUGCGAUACAAUGUAAGCUCUACAGCGAAAGCGUUAAGUAAUCCACCUGGGGAGUACGCCGGCAACGGUGAAACUCAAAGGAAUUGACGGGGGCCCG